rnacentral:ncRNA from 2 species
UACUUGGUUGAUCCUGCCAAGGAAGCACACUUAGGUCAUAGAUUAAGCCAUGCAAGUGUUAGUUCAGGUAACGAAACUGCGAAUAGCUCAUUAAUACGCUCAGAAUCUAUUUGGCGGCGACCAACAGGUCUUAAAUGGAUAGCAGCAGCAACUCUGGUGCUAAUACAUGCGAUUGUUUCUCCAGAUGUGAAUUAUGGAGGAAAAGUUGACCUCAUCAGAGGCACGCCAUUCGACUGAGUGACCUAUCAGCUUGUACUUAGGGUCUUUACCUAGGUAGGCUAUCACGGGUAACGGGCGGUUACCGUCGGACUGCCGGAGAAGGCGCCUGAGAGAUAGCGACUAUAUCCACGGGUAGCAGCAGGCGCGAAACUUUCCCACUCGAGACUUUCGGAGGAGGUAAUGACCAGUUCCAUUGGUGCCUUUUGGUACUGUGGAUAGGGGUACGGUUUUCCACCGUACCGAAACCUAGCAGAGGGCCAGUCUGGUGCCAGCAGCUGCGGUAAUUCCAGCUCUGCGAGUUUGCUCCCAUAUUGUUGCAGUUAAAACGCCCGUAGUCUGAAUUGGCCAGCAAUGGUCGUACGUAUUUUUACGUUCACUGUGAACAAAUCAGGACGCUUAGAGUAUGGCCACAUGAAUGACUCAGCGCAGUAUGAAGUCUUUGUUUUCUUCCGAAAACAAGCUCAAUGAGAGCCAUCGGGGGUAGAUCUAUCUCAUGACGAGUGGUGGAAUA